ACAUGCAAGUCGAGCGGAAACGAUCCUAGCUUGCUAGGAGGCGUCGAGCGGCGGACGGGUGAGUAAUGCAUAGGAAUCUGCCCGGUAGUGGGGGAUAACCUGAGGAAACUCAGGCUAAUACCGCAUACGUCCUACGGGAGAAAGCAGGGGCUCUUCGGACCUUGCGCUAUCGGAUGAGCUUAUGUCGGAUUAGCUGGUUGGUGAGGUAACGGCUCACCAAGGCGACGAUCCGUAGCUGGUCUGAGAGGAUGAUCAGCCACAUCGGGACUGAGACACGGCCCGAACUCCUACGGGAGGCAGCAGUGGGGAAUAUUGGACAAUGGGGGCAACCCUGAUCCAGCCAUGCCGCGUGUGUGAAGAAGGCCCUCGGGUUGUAAAGCACUUUCAGUGAGGAAGAAGGCUUGUCGGUUAAUACCCGGCAAGAAAGACAUCACUCACAGAAGAAGCACCGGCUAACUCCGUGCCAGCAGCCGCGGUAAUACGGAGGGUGCGAGCGUUAAUCGGAAUUACUGGGCGUAAAGCGUGCGUAGGCGGCUUGAUAAGCCGGUUGUGAAAGCCCCGGGCUCAACCUGGGAACGGCAUCCGGAACUGUCAGGCUAGAGUGCAGGAGAGGAAGGUAGAAUUCCCGGUGUAGCGGUGAAAUGCGUAGAGAUCGGGAGGAAUUCCAGUUGCGAAGGCGGCCUUCUGUACUGACUCUGACGCUUAUGUACUAAAGCGUGUGUAGCAAACUGUAUUU
rnacentral:rRNA from 1 species